UUUUUCUAUUACUAGUGUUCUUGUAUAUAGCAUGCUUGUGUAUGUAAUUUUAUUCAAGUAAGGAUUGUGCCUUCUAUUGCCUUGUUUCUUUAUUAUUCUAUUCAGGGGCCCAUGGUUAUUGAAAUGAUAAGAAAUAAACCCUAAGUAAAUAAGAACAAUCUUUAUAUGAAUUUCUGAGACAAUUUCUCAAGAUCUCUUGAACUGAUUCUUUAAAUAGUUUUCAUUGACCUCAUUCACUGUGGGCAGUAUCAUGGGUCACCAUGACCUAUUCCUGUGACCUGGAAAGCCUUGUUUCUAGGUGCUGGGAAGACAUAAGGUGCUCCAUUCUAGUGGGAGAAGAUGUACUUGGUAGCCACUACUUUUUUAGCAUCGUCUCCUCCUCUUCGACUCUAUUGCUCCUGUCUGAGUCUGAUAUGACAAAAUUGUCCAGCUUAUUUUGAGAUAAUCCUCUGGCCCUGACUCCAGCUAUGGAAGGGUCUGAACAAGGAGAUCAUCUAUCAGUUGAUGACUGACCAUCUAGACCAGAUAAAAGUAAAUGAAUGAUAAUUGUACAGAGAGGAUUAUUUACCACCAAACAUGGACAUAACUAAAAGGGUGACAAUGGAACCAGAGCAAUUUCUUCGUUUUAAGCAUCUGUUCACUAAAGAUGUUCAGGAACCAGCAGAUUGGACUCCAGAACAUUACCCAUGUUCUAGAUGCUUGUCUUUAAAAAUCUGAUGUGCCUUCAGGAAAGUAAAAAUAAAACAGCAAGAGCUGGACUUUUGAAAGAAAAAGAAACCGCACUGUCACUGGUAAGAGCAUGGUGGCCAGAAGUACUGGGUUGGGUACUUACUUUUGAGGUGAGCUAGGAAUGAGACCCCGCAGCUGUCCAUGAAGCGCAUCUUGUAUAUUGCUAGUUGAAUAGAGCCCAAUUGGUGAGUUAUAGGAAGCGCUCACUACCUGUCUUUUGUCAUCAAUGUUUGCUGCUGCAACAAAAGGCUGGGCCCUUCUGUUGUGCGCGGUACCAAUGGGUUUGAACUCCUGUACAAUGGCAGACAAAAUACACAGAGCCACAGAAUGCACAAUAAAGCCGUUAAUGAGCAAACCAACCGCAACGCUAUUGUUAAUCAAGGCUUCUUUCCCCUACUGCAAGAUUCAUGGUGAGGUUAAAGGCGGAGGGAAGUGUAAACCUUUCUACAUUUUCCAUGAACUUUCCAUGUGCUGGACUCAGCCACCAAACGGUGCAAAGGAACUGACCUUGUUUAAAUAUUCUGAAAUAAUUCGAACCUUAUACCUUUCACCUGGCCCUGCUGACUUUGACAUCAAUAGCUUUUAAGCGAGUCUCCUAUGACUCAUUUGAAUACAGAAAUUCUGUGUCAGAAAUGAGAUUCGGGGCUCAGAAUAAUUAUUAUACUUAACAUUUUCUCAAGUAGGACUUACAUAUGCUUUCUCUUCUAUUAAUAUCUUAAUAAAACUUCCUCCAUUUUAGGAAAUGGAAGAGCAAAACACAGAAAGAGAGGGAGCAUUUAUGAAUAAAUAUACUAACUCAUUUUAACUAACCCAAGUAAAAGUGCUGUUUUUUUCUUAAUACCUACCACAAAACACAAAAUUCUUGAUUUGCACUAAGGUCUAACCUUAAAUUUAGAACAAGAAAUAAGAAUUAAAAGACUGUUUUUCCUCACAAGAGGUUUUCCAGUUUUUAUAUAUAGAUUUAUAAUUUUGUAAAGUCAUUAAAUAUGUUUUUCUUUUAAGCAACAGAAGAAAACCAAAUGGGAAGGCUAAAAUACACACAAACUGAUUCUCUUUCCAAUUUUUUUUUCAUUUGGCAGCAUCAGGAAGAUAAAUCUUUCCAAUAUUUUCACUCACACACUCACAUUGACUUCGUUUAAUUUUGUGAAUGUGCCACCAGCUUUUCACACAGAUUUCAACUAGUACAAACAUUUAUGAUUCUUUGAAAGGUUACUGAAAAGAGGCUGUUUUUAUUAAAAAAAAUAAAAAGGUCUUGUGAUAUUCUG